rnacentral:rRNA from 1 species
GACGAACGCUGGCGGCGUGCUUAACACAUGCAAGUCGAACGAUGAUGCCCAGCUUGCUGGGUGGAUUAGUGGCGAACGGGUGAGUAACACGUGAGUAACCUGCCCCUGACUCUGGGAUAAGCGUUGGAAACGACGUCUAAUACUGGAUACGACUGCCGGCCGCAUGGUCUGGUGGUGGAAAGAUUUUUUGGUUGGGGAUGGACUCGCGGCCUAUCAGCUUGUUGGUGAGGUAAUGGCUCACCAAGGCGACGACGGGUAGCCGGCCUGAGAGGGUGACCGGCCACACUGGGACUGAGACACGGCCCAGACUCCUACGGGAGGCAGCAGUGGGGAAUAUUGCACAAUGGGCGAAAGCCUGAUGCAGCAACGCCGCGUGAGGGAUGACGGCCUUCGGGUUGUAAACCUCUUUUAGUAGGGAAGAAGCGAAAGUGACGGUACCUGCAGAAAAAGCACCGGCUAACUACGUGCCAGCAGCCGCGGUAAUACGUAGGGUGCAAGCGUUGUCCGGAAUUAUUGGGCGUAAAGAGCUCGUAGGCGGUUUGUCGCGUCUGCUGUGAAAUCCCGAGGCUCAACCUCGGGCUUGCAGUGGGUACGGGCAGACUAGAGUGCGGUAGGGGAGAUUGGAAUUCCUGGUGUAGCGGUGGAAUGCGCAGAUAUCAGGAGGAACACCGAUGGCGAAGGCAGAUCUCUGGGCCGUAACUGACGCUGAGGAGCGAAAGCGUGGGGAGCGAACAGGAUUAGAUACCCUGGUAGUCCACGCCGUAAACGUUGGGCGCUAGAUGUAGGGACCUUUCCACGGUUUCUGUGUCGUAGCUAACGCAUUAAGCGCCCCGCCUGGGGAGUACGGCCGCAAGGCUAAAACUCAAAGGAAUUGACGGGGGCCCGCACAAGCGGCGGAGCAUGCGGAUUAAUUCGAUGCAACGCGAAGAACCUUACCAAGGCUUGACAUACACCGGAAACGGCCAGAGAUGGUCGCCCCCUUGUGGUCGGUGUACAGGUGGUGCAUGGUUGUCGUCAGCUCGUGUCGUGAGAUGUUGGGUUAAGUCCCGCAACGAGCGCAACCCUCGUUCUAUGUUGCCAGCGCGUUAUGGCGGGGACUCAUAGGAGACUGCCGGGGUCAACUCGGAGGAAGGUGGGGAUGACGUCAAAUCAUCAUGCCCCUUAUGUCUUGGGCUUCACGCAUGCUACAAUGGCCGGUACAAAGGGCUGCGAUACCGUAAGG